ACGCCUUUGCUCGAUCGCAGAAGUUGCAGUCAUGCGCUUAUGAUGUCAAUGUGGGAUCAGUAUCGGCCGUUGCAAGCCUGAACCUUCCUCGCACAAGCAGAAGUAUUUCAAAUUGAACACAAUUGGCAAGAUUCGACUUGACGGACAUGAUCUGAACUCUGGUUCUGUUCGAUUAUGUGAACUGGCAUCUUUGAGGAAAUCAGUGUGUAGAUCUCCAAAAAGACGUUUAGGCUGGUUCCAACAGACGGGUCAAGCAAUGCGUAAGCUCUGGACACGCACCCAGUGCCGCUGGAUUGCGAGUCCAGCAUCUUCCGUCCAGGCCACGGAGACGGCCUGCUCUGGACACGUACCCAGUGCCGCUGGAUUGCGAGUCCAGCACGUUUCGUCUAGACCACGGAGACCGCCCGCUCUGGACACGUACCCAGUGCCGCUGGAUUGCGAGUCCAGCAUGUUUCGUCUAGACCACGGAAACGGCCCGCUCUGGACACGUACCCAGUGCCGCUGGAUUGUGAGUCCAGCAUGUUUGGUCUAGAUCGCAGGGCCGGCCGGGUAUUUACGGCUCAAACUAAGCCUGAUGCGAUCAAGCAGCUGGCACCAUUCGACUCGGCAUUAGAUUGUCGGCCCAGAAAGGUGUCACUAACGCUUUAUUGCGCAGGGCUUCACGUUUCCGGUCUAACCUCCACCCGUGUUCGAUCAACUUUCAUCUUGCACCCGAAAACAUUUAUGCAGUUGGUAUGUACAUUCGAGUAAAAGAGGCUUAGAUCGCUUUUAACAUACCGGUUUGCAAUACUUGUCGA